GAGGUGGUGUAGUGGUUUGAGCACUGGACUAUGACUCUGGAGACCAGGGUUCGAAUUCCUGCUCA